AUACGGAGGGUGCAAGCGUUAAUCGGAAUUACUGGGCGAAAAGGGCGCGUAGGCGGUCUAUCAAGUCAGGUGUGAAAUCCCACGGCUCAACCGUGGAGGUGCAUCUGAAACUGAUAGACUUGAGUAUGGGAGAGGAAAGUGGAAUUCCCGGUGUAGAGGUGAAAUUCGUAGAUAUCGGGAGGAACACCAGUGGCGAAGGCGACUUUCUGGACCAAUACUGACGCUGAGGCGCGAAAGCGUGGGGAGCAAACAGGAUUAGAAACCCCAGUAGUCC
rnacentral:rRNA from 1 species